AAUGAAUCUAGGUUCUCUCUU
rnacentral:miRNA from 1 species